ensembl:snoRNA SNORA62 Small nucleolar RNA SNORA62/SNORA6 family
UCUGCACAGUGUUGGAGCUUGGAGCUGAGGCUGCUGGCUGGCCACUGAGCUCACGAGUGUAGGCAGUGUGCACACGGGCGCUAAGUCCUUUGCUAACACCACAAAGGUCUCUGGCCCAGUGAGUGCAUUGUGGUAGUAAUUCUUGCUACAAGU